rnacentral:rRNA from 1 species
CUACGGGUGGCUCCAGUGGGGAAUAUUGCACAAUGGGCGAAAGCCUGAUGCAGCAACGCCGCGUGAGUGAUGAAGGUCUUCGGAUUGUAAAGCUCUGUUCUUGGGGAAGAAUAAAUGACGGUACCCAAGGAGAAAGCCCCGGCUAACUACGUGCCAGCAGCCGCGGUAAUACGUAGGGGGCAAGCGUUAUCCGGAAUCACUGGGCGUAAAGGGUGCGUAGGCGGCUUAGCAAGUCAGAAGUGAAAGGCAUUGGCUCAACCAAUGUAAGCUUUUGAAACUGUUAGGCUUGAGUGCAGGAGAGGAAAGUGGAAUUCCUAGUGUAGCGGUGAAAUGCGUAGAUAUUAGGAGGAACACCAGUGGCGAAGGCGACUUUCUGGACUGUAACUGACGCUGAGGCACGAAAGCGUGGGGAGCGAACAGGAUUAGAUACCCGCGUAGUC